rnacentral:rRNA from 1 species
AACGAACGCUGGCGGCGUGGAUAAGACAUGCAAGUCGAACGGGAUAUUUUUGGUAGCAAUAUCAAAAAUGUCUAGUGGCGUAAGGGUGCGUAACACGUGGGCAACCUGCCCGGAAGUGGGGGAUAGCUCGCCGAAAGGCGAAUUAAUACCGCAUGUGGUGAGUGAAGUCAUCUUCGCGAAACCAAAGUCGGGGCAACCUGACGCUUCUGGAUGGGCCCGCGGCCUAUCAGCUAGUUGGUGAGGUAACGGCUCACCAAGGCUAUGACGGGUAGCUGGUCUGAGAGGACGACCAGCCACACUGGAACUGAGACACGGUCCAGACACCUACGGGUGGCAGCAGUCGAGAAUUUUUCUCAAUGGGGGAAACCCUGAAGGAGCGACGCCGCGUGGAGGAUGAAGGUUUUCGGAUUGUAAACUCCUGUCAUUAGGGAACAAUGUGCAGAUGUUAACUGCGUCUGCAUUGAUAGUACCUGAAGAGGAAGAGACGGCUAACUCUGUGCCAGCAGCCGCAGUAACAC